rnacentral:tRNA from 2 species
GCCGCAAUAGCUCAGUUGGUAGAGCAACGCACUCGUAAUGCGUAGGUCGGUGGUUCGAGUCCACUUUGCGGCACCA